UGGUGGGUGACUCUGCGGAUGAAUGAAAGUAAAACUCAACGCCUCGCAAGGGGCAGUUACCACGGAGUAGUGCUGAAUCAAUUCAUCUUUGCGAAAGCUGGAUCUCCAGCGUAUUUUGACGAACAACUGCCCUAUUAGCCAGUGAUGGCCGUGUAGUGGACUGCCAUGGCGUUGACGGGAGCGGGGGAUUAGGGUUCGAUUCCGGAGAGGGAGCCUGAGAAAUGGCUACCACUUCUACGGAGGGCAGCAGGCGCGCAAAUUGCCCAAUGCCAAAACAAAUGAUGAGGCAGCGAAAAGAAAUAGGCGCCCCAAAUGCCUAGUGUAUUUGGGGUUAUCAAUGGGGGAUAUUUAACACCAUCCAACAUCGAGUAACAAUUGGAGGACAAGUCUGGUGCCAGCACCCGCGGUAAUUCCAGCUCCAAGAGCGUAUAUUAACGCUGUUGCUGUUAAAGGGUUCGUAGUAGAAUUGUGGCUUGUGACGCCGAGGCCAAGCCCUUGACCCACGGUCUAGGGAAACCUCGAUCACACGCCGAGAACGUUAGAAACUAAGACCACGGGAGCGUUUCCCGCCAACCAAAUCGCGAGCAAUGCACGCUGUCGGGCGUCCGUGUUCAUUACUGUGACUAAAGAAGUGCGACCAAAGCAGUCCAUCGACAUGAAUUAGAAAGCAUGGGAUAACAAAGCAGCAGCCUAGGAGCUACCGUUUAGGCUUUUGUUGGUUUUAAAGGUUUUUGGGAGAUUACGGGCAGGCAGGACCGGCGUUGUGGAGUCUUCUUUGGCUCCCGCGCUUCCUCCUCGUGUCGGCAACGGCGCGGUGGAGGCCUGUUUUCUGCUCAGGAAUGAAGGAGGGUUGCUCGGGGGAGAACGUACUUGAGCGUGAGAGGUGAAAUUCUUAGACCGCUCAAAGACGAACUACAGCGAAGGCAUUCUCCAAGGAUACCUUCCUCAAUCAAGAACCAAAGUGUGGGGAUCGAAGAUGAUUAGAGACCAUUGUAGUCCACACCACAAACGGUGACCCCCAUGAAUUGGGGAGUUUUUGUGGAGGUGCCUCCCGGCGUGUCCGGGCUGGUAUCCCACAAUAAAGUAUUCAACCUACGUGCACGUUCCAUCCAGUCGGGGGGUAACACCUCCGGCCUUGACGGGAACAUCCUCAGCACGUUCUCUUACUGUUUCACGCGAAAGCUUUGAGGUUACAGUCUCAGGGGGGAGUACGUUCGCAAGAGUGAAACUUAAAGAAAUUGACGGAAUGGCACCACAAGAUGUGGAGCGUGCGGUUUAAUUUGACCCAACACGGGGAACUUUACCAGAUCCGGAAAGGGUAAGGAUUGACAGAUUGAUUGUUCUUUCUCGAUUCUCUCAAUGGUGGUGCAUGGCCGCUUUUGGUCGGUGGAGUGA
rnacentral:rRNA from 1 species